UACAGAGGUGGCAAGCGUUGUUCGGAAUUACUGGGCGUAAAGCGUGCGUAGACGGUUAUUUAAGUCGGGUGUGAAAGCCCCGGGCUCAACCUGGGAAUUGCAUUCGAGACUGAAUAGCUAGGGUACGGUAGAGGGAAGCGGAAUUUCCGGUGUAGCGGUGAAAUGCGUAGAUAUCGGAAGGAACAUCAGUGGCGAAAGCGGCUUCCUGGACCAGUACCGACGUUCAGGCACGAAAGCGUGGGGAGCAAACAGG
rnacentral:rRNA from 1 species